UGAUUGCUGUAUUUGUCUAUGGGUGCGUUCGACUUCACACAGCCAUUUGCAGUGCUUGCUUAAAGCAGUGCAUUGUGGUCCCAACGUAAUGCAUCAUGGUUAGAUUUUUUUUUUGUCCGACUUCAGCCGGCGCUGCAAAACGUUACCAUCCGUGACCAUGUCACAUGGUACAAAAACCUCACGAGAGCAAGACGACUUAAGACUUAAAGCCCAAGUCGAACGCACCCUGUAGCACCGCCCCUCCCCCUCCUACUGAGUGCAGACACGCAUCGUGUAGUUGACCAAUCCGUGCGGGUGGAAAAAAUAGAGAAAGAAAAAAAGCGGCUCUGACUCCGGCUCACAGGCAGGAGCCGGCUCCGAUCGUUCACUUCGAAGAGCCGGCUCCGAGAGCCGUUUCGUUCGUGACCGACACAUCACUACAAGCCAGCAAUUUUUCGGUUUCAAGAAGUGGCUAAUGAUUCAACCACAGUCCGUCUUCAAUUACCGUGGGUGCUGAUCCAGCCAUCUGUGGACCUCAGUGGACCCCAGAAACAUACAGAUCUGCCACUGAACAGUUGGAGACAGAAAACAUGCCAGAAGUACAAUGGAUAAAGUUCAGAGAGACAUCAGAUGUUUCAGGCCUUCCUUUCUGCUGGAUAUGACUGAAUCCCAGGUGCUACAGAAGAUGAGUGAUGCAAUAGCCAGAGUCCUUCCGGACCAUUCUGAUCAAGUUGUCAAGUCGGUUGAAGAUACUCUGAAGGCACUUGGGGCUGCAGCCACCGAUGAUUUAAAGUAUAUUACAGAAGGAGACUUGCUGCCAGUCUUAAAGCCCAUACAAGCCAGAAGACUAGUUGCUGCCUGGGCCCAAAAUGACUGAAGCACUUCAUCACCAAACUUGGUGUGCUCCUCUCCAGUGGUUACCCAUUCUUCUCCCUCUCCAGCCUCAGCUUCAUCCUCACCAUGGUCAUCCACCACUACUUCAUCACCUUCCGGUGGCUGUACACCAUUUGUGUCAAGCUGGGCCGACAGUUUUGAGAUACCGUGGCAGAAGCUCCCUGAGGAGUUGGUACAGAACUUGGAAAGACAGAAAAGGCCAAGUGCACGACGACGACGAGAAAUGGUAAGGAUUGUGGUGUCUGAAAUGAUGAAGAUUUGUAAGAAUCCAACCAAACGCAAUACUGCAGAGAUCGCAAAAAGGAUGGGGGCCAGGUAUCCAAAGUCUCUUCGAGAUGUGAUUGAAGGUGAUGUUAUUGGACUUGGAUAUCCCUGGUAAAACAACUUCAGUCAAGAGUUGAAAAUGUCAAACGACCUGACACACCGAGGAUAAUGAAACGCAAGGCAGCAUCAGAUGACAACGAUACAGACGAAAUACCUGCUGAACAAAAAGCUAGUGUUCAAGACACAUAUGGCUGUGUUAGCUGGGAGCCAAAACGUGCCACUUUCAGAGACUGUGGAGAGUCAGCUUGAAAAAAAAAAGAAGAAAUGAGGAAAUUGUUCAAAGAAAUUAACUACAAUAUAGAUGUUGUGAAAGAACUAGUCAAGUGCACCUACUUCACACAGCGUAAAGACAUCAACAAAGGUGCAAGCAUCCAUACACUAUGCCAGGAAUGGCCCUUUUUGUUCAAAGAAGCUGGUAUGACUGCGCACUUCCAGGAACUGACUGGUGUGAAUCUUAUGGAGACCUUCCAUACCAAUGUAGACAAAAAGGGGGCACGUCUGUUAAACUUCCUCAAACAUGUUGAUGCAUCUGUUCCAUUGUAUCGAGAUGACAAGCCUUCCAGAGGAGGUUCAGAUGGAGAAUGUCCCACCAGCACCCUGCAUUAUUGUUUGUGGUGAGCUGGCCGUGAAGGGCAGCCACCCAUAGCAGCAUCCAGGGAGACCUCGCUCAAGGAGCCACUGACAUGCUGAAGUGAGGCUUGAACCAGCAACCUUCUGAUUACAGGCACAGCCCACUGAGCCACAUGCUGCCUCCAGCAGUUACAUAUAAAAAUAAAAUAUUACAUAUCAAUUUAGAACCUACCUGAUUGUAGGUGAAGGUGUAGCUCCCUGUAAUGAGAUUCCCAGACACCCACUCAGGGAAUCAGGGACUGAGACUGUUUGGCUCGUCCUCGGUAGUCCGGUCAUUGGUGUUGCACCAUCUUGCGGUCUGUGGCCAGCCCUCCCGUCCCCCAUAAUCCCAUUUAUUUAUAAUCCUUGUUCAUCAGGUUAAGUAAAACUUCUUUUUUGUUUCUCCACCAUGCCUGCCCUCCGAGUGCCGCAUCCCAGAGGUCAUGACAGAACGACUGGAUUCCGCACACUGCCUAUCAACAAUCCCUGGGAGCCUCCCAUGCUACAUGUCUCCGUUUGCACGCAUUCCCCUGCACCCUGCCUCCUACCUCAGCCUGAGCCUCAGGUCCACAGACCUCGGUGGUUCGGGGACAAUCACUGGUCGAUGCUCUUCAGCGAUAAUGACCUUGAGUGAAUUUCCCGGCGUGCGGGUUGCCCUGACCAUGUGGAGAUCGGUCUGGGCUCACCUCCAUGAUAAAAAUGAGAUGCCCACAUUCAUCCCUCCAGAGCCCCACCUCUCCACUGCAUGAAGCUGCUCUGCUCGCAGGCUCCCCGUGACUCGCUGCAACUUCGUUCACCAUCUCCAGCCACAGGAGGAGAAAGUAGAGGAAGCCUCAGCCCAACUUCUGCACCAACCCUGUCUGAAGUCCUGGUGUGGUCAGCGGUGUCAGCUGGGGCCCAGAAGAGGAGAGGGAGAUGGGGACAGAAAUGUACUAUUUGCACUUCUCCUGCUGUGGCCUUGGGGAGAUAAACCAUGGCGCCCUCCUCCUCCUGUCCUGCAGUCCCCAUUGGUGCCCUCUGGUCCCGCUGCCCCCCCGGCGCCCUCAGCCCCCAUUGGCCCUUUAAGAAUCUCAGGUCCUUAUGUCUGGAUGGGCUCCCCCUUGUCGGUGGAUGGGACCAGGAGGAUCCACAUCCCAGGGUCGUCGCCUAGCUUCUCAGUGUCCAGAAGACUCCCUGGAUGCCCCAAUUUUCAUUUGUUGCGCCUCAGUCCCUGUCCCAGUGUGCUGUCCUGCCUUUGCUUUCGCCCAGUCCCUGUCACAGUUUGCUGUCCUGCCUUUGCUUUCGCCCAGUCCCUGUCCCAGUGUGCUGUCCUGCCUUUGCUUUCGCCCAGUCCCUGUCCCAGUGUGCUGUCCUGCCUUUGCUUUCGCCCAGUC